UGAACGCUGGCGGCGUGCCUAAUACAUGCAAGUCGAGCGAACAGACGAGGAGCUUGCUCCUCUGACGUUAGCGGCGGACGGGUGAGUAACACGUGGAUAACCUACCUAUAAGACUGGGAUAACUUCGGGAAACCGGAGCUAAUACCGGAUAAUAUAUUGAACCGCAUGGUUCAAUAGUGAAAGACGGUUUUGCUGUCACUUAUAGAUGGAUCCGCGCCGCAUUAGCUAGUUGGUAAGGUAACGGCUUACCAAGGCGACGAUGCGUAGCCGACCUGAGAGGGUGAUCGGCCACACUGGAACUGAGACACGGUCCAGACUCCUACGGGAGGCAGCAGUAGGGAAUCUUCCGCAAUGGGCGAAAGCCUGACGAAGCAACGCCGCGUGAGUGAUGAAGGUCUUCGGAUCGUAAAACUCUGUUAUUAGGGAAGAACAAAUGUGUAAGUAACUAUGCACGUCUUGACGGUACCUAAUCAGAAAGCCACGGCUAACUACGU
rnacentral:rRNA from 1 species